rnacentral:tRNA from 1 species
GCGCGGGUGGUGGAAUGGUAUACACGUACGCUUGAGGUGCGUAUGCCGUAAGGCGUGCAGGUUCAACUCCUGUCCCGCGCACCA